AGUAGCCGAAGAUUUGCCCCAAAUCCCAGUUCAGGUCACUGACCAACUGGACGCGGCCCACCGCCGGAUCGUAAAGACCGCCAAAGGUGGUGGCCUUCAGCACCAGCAGCCAAGCGCCCAACCCGAGCAACACCAGGUGAAUGCCCAGAAUUUGGGUCAUUUUGUUGGCAUCAUCCCA
rnacentral:antisense_RNA from 1 species